GACGAACGCUGGCGGCGUGCUUAACACAUGCAAGUCGAACGGUAAGGCCCUUCGGGGUACACGAGUGGCGAACGGGUGAGUAACACGUGGGUGAUCUGCCCUGCACUUCGGGAUAAGCCUGGGAAACUGGGUCUAAUACCGGAUAGGACCCUGGGAUGCAUGUCCUGGGGUGGAAAGCUUUUGCGGUGUGGGAUGGGCCCGCGGCCUAUCAGCUUGUGGGGGGGGUGAUGGCCUACCAAGGCGACGACGGGUAGCCGGCCUGAGAGGGUGACCGGCCACAGAGGGACUGGUAUACGGCCCAGACUCCUACGGGAGGCAGCAGUGGGGAAUAUUGCACAAUGGGCGCAAGCCUGAUGCAGCAACGCCGCGUGAGGGAUGACGGCCUUCGGGUUGUAAACCUCUUUUAGUAGGGAAGAAGCGAAAGUGACGGUACCUGCAGAAAAAGCACCGGCUAACUACGUGCCAGCAGCCGCCGUAA
rnacentral:rRNA from 1 species